GGCUCGGUGGCUUAGUUGGUAAAGCACUUGUCUAGCGAAUAAGGGUCGUGAGUUCGAAUCUCACCUGAGCUG
rnacentral:tRNA from 2 species